UGGGAAUUCCCGCUACCCCUACCGAACUCUAGUCUCUCAGUUUCCACCGCCUGCCCAGAGUUAAGCUCUGGUCUUUGACAGCAGACUUGAAAGACCACCUGCGGACGCUUUACGCCCAAUAAUUCCGGAUAACGCUUGCAUCCUCCGUAUUACCGCGGCUGCUGGCACGGAGUUAGCCGAUGCUUAUUCCUCAGGUACCGUCAGAUCUUCUUCCCUGAGAAAAGAGGUUUACAACCCAAAGGCCUUCCUCCCUCACGCGGUAUUGCUCCGUCAGGCUUUCACCCAUUGCGGAAGAUUCCCC
rnacentral:rRNA from 1 species